GAUUUUAGGAACUUACUGUAAAGAUAUGCAGUAAAUGUUUGCUGCCCCAAUUCAGGGUGAGGGAGUUUUAGCAAAAAGUCUCAUAGCAGCCUAGGUACAAUGCAAGCCUCAUUCUCCAUGGGAAAAACUAUCCGUGGGUGUGGCUCCUGUCUGCUUCAAUGCCA